CAAAAAGUCUGUCUCUCUACAUUCUACAGUCUCUCCUUACAUCUUCCCAGGAGUUCCCCUGAGUAGGAGGCUGAGGAAGGCAGGAAGUGGAAGAGCAGAAUUUUUCUACUCCCAUUCUGGAGUUCACAGGAGCAGUGGUUCCCUGGUUGUCAGCAGUUGCCCCAUUUCCUGGUGCGCUCACCACUGAGGGUGAAUUUUCCUUUGUAUAAGAAGAUUUUGGUGGAGAAUUAUCCAGAGCAAAAGGACUCACUUUUUCGAAGAUAGAGACAUCAGUUUGUUCCGCAUGUUGCACCAGGACCCCAUCAGUGCAGCACAAUCCAGUCCAUCCACACGGCCCUGCCGCCCUGGGCAUGGCAGGUGAGCAGCGUCCCAGGAGCUGCAGCAGACGAAAGUAGGGAAGGAGUCCGGUGUCUCAGUCAGCUGUUUAGUCUGCCGUGCUACAGCCGUUGUCA